AUUUUGCCUAAGUUAGUUAGCGACAGUUUCUGCUUCUUAAAAAAAGUGACCCAGUGGAUGACCUCAAUAUGCAUAUAUGAGACAACUUCUGUCUAUGGGUUCUUCCUCAAAUUACUAGACUUAUCAUCCUGGUAAUGUUUUUUCUCCAACAGAAAAACAAUAAGUGUGUGCAAUUUUCAAGAAUAAAGUGAGAUUUAGAAAACUAGUGGUUUAUCCAUAUGUAAUGGAGUCUGCACAUGUCAGGACCCAACCCAGAACGGCAUGUUGCAUUUAAUCAUCAUUCUGCUUAAUUUUUUCCAGUUGGUGAUUUUUUUCAGUUUUUCCUUGUUUCUCAAGACCUUUGCACUUUUAAAGAGUACUGAUCAAGUAUUCUGUAGAAUAUAUCUCAAUUCGGAUUUGAUGUUUUCUCAUGAUUAGACUGGGAUUAUGGAUUUUUGAGGAAGAAUGCCACUGAGCCACUUAUUCAGAGACAGUGUGAGAGAAUGAAGCCAAGAGAGUGAAGCAGAUAUUCUACAGGGAGGACCUAGUCGCAGUCCCUGAUGAAUGAACUACUAGAGAACUAACCAACGUCAUUUAUGAAGAACACAAUGAAGUCAGACAAAAAGAAAAAAUUGUUCCUAUUGGCUAAUCCAACUGAAGGCCAAUGGAUAAAGGCA
rnacentral:lncRNA from 1 species